CUGGUCCUACGGGGGGCAGCAGUGGGGGAUAUUGCACAAUGGGGGGAACCCUGAUGCAGCGACGCCGCGUGGGUGAAGGAGUGCUUCGGCAUGUAAAGCCCUAUCGGCAGGGAAGAAGCAAGACGGUACCUGACUAAGAAGCCCCGGCUAACUACGUGCCAGCAGCCGCGGGAAUACGUAGGGGGCGAGCGUUAUCCGGAUUCACUGGGUGGAAAGGGAGCGUAGACGGCCAAGCAAGGCAGGGGGGAAAGCCCGGGGCCCAACCCCGG
rnacentral:rRNA from 1 species